GCAAAGAAGAAUAUGAAUAACUUCCUUUUAUCUUUGUUUUUUCCAUAAUAUUUUAAAACAUUAAUUGUCUGAUCAAAGCCUCUAUUUUUUUUUUUAUUAUUAUUAUUAUUAUUUUUUUACACUUUUAGCUUGUAUAUAAGCCACUCUCCCACUCAUGAUGAAUCCAUAAGCCACUGGUUUUGUUCGGCGGGUGAGAGCAGAAGCUCUCGGCCUCCAUCCUCCACGAACCUUCCGAGAUCAAAGCGACUGUUCGUCUUUUGAGCAGUCGCUUUUUCACCUCACCUCUAUUUGCGCGCGCGCGCUGUGUCUGUGUGUGUGUGGAUUUUCUAGCUAUGUGUUGGCUAGGUUAGGAUAUCAUGGGACAUGGGCAAUCUUCACUUGUUUACGAGAAAACAGUUUGAUCUGUGCAUCGGUCUUGCAUACAUGUGAAGAUCAGUUCAUUUCCGUUUACUCUUGUUGCUUUCUUCUCAAUGAUUGACGGUGAAGGGAGCCCUCUUCAGUCCACUCAUGGGUGGCUGCAGGAUUCAAUUAGCUGCCGAUUCAUUCAUCCACAUACUGUGUUAAAAGGAGAUACCCAGUAAAUGAGUGAAUGAACCGGGAGAUAAAUUGGAUCUUAAACUUCCUGUACUUGGACUGAAGGGAGCUCCCUUUCUCGUUAUGUUACUUAAAUCUCUUCUCUUGAUCUAAACUCUUUCUUUGUUAGUACUCAUUUUAUUUCUUAAUAAUUAAGUCCAUGUUUGAAUAAAAGUGGUUUGCUUGAAUUGCUAAAGAUAAAUAUCGUUCACCGAUUACUUUUCCUCUUUCCAGACGCCAAGCACGCUUCUGGUGAUGCAGAGGUAAGUUACUUAAUUAUUACUACCUGUUUGACUUGAUGUUGAACUUGUUAAUUUUAAAUUUGUUAAAUCUCUCAGUCCUCUAAGAUUAUCGUUAAUUAAGUUUUAGUGGUAUUUAUCUCAUGUGGUGAACCAGAAAUCCUUGCCUUGGAAAGUCGGUAAGAGUAGGCAUGUAGAGAAAGCCUUCUCGCUUUUGUGCAUCAACAGAUGCCUUGUGACCUUGUCUUUUCCAUGUCUGUUCGUUUCCUUUAAAAAUUGUCUCAACUAGGGUUAAGGUAUGCAAGCUUAAAUUAAUAUAUAUUAAAAACAUCCUCGAAACUCGUUCAAUGAGGGAUGAGCUAACCUGCUUUUCACUCGUGUUGACGGUAAAGAUUUUAGGGUUUUGUCAAGCGUACAUUCAAGCCUGUGUCAUCCAAGAGGCGCCUGAGCAUGAGAUAGAUGCUCGCAAUAUACGACAAUAGCGUCUUGGGUCUUGCUCUAUUACUGCAACAAGUUCCCAGACAUGUCUCCCGGAGGUUGCAAUUACCGGAAUGUCCUCAUGUGGUUUCAUGUUAGCAGGGACUGUACUGCUCUCUUUCUUUUUCUUUUUUUUGUCCAUGAUUUCGGUUUGAUUGUACCGAUCUGUAGGUGGAUGAAUAGAGGAUUCUGACGUCGACUUCUCUCCUGAGCUUUACGAGUCAUGAAUGUAAGGUUUCUUUGGUACUGUGGCAUGAAUUGUGGGCCUCAGUUUUUCCAUUGUAUGAAAGACGGGUGAAGGAUCAUUUUCUUGGGCGGAAUAUACAAGACGGGUGAUGCAAGAACUUGAGAAAACGUGGGUGGGAAUGACCACUCUCUCUCUCUCUCGCGCGCGAGCUAGCCAAAGGGCAAAGAGGUUUUGACCUUCUUUCUUUCAUGGAGUGAGCCGAAAAACAAGCAUCAACCAACCCCAGUGUAGGGCAAAGCUUGUGUACUUUUUAGUUUAUUCGAGCUUCACUCGUAAUAAUUUUCUUCCCUUCUUUUUAUUUUUUCCUUCAGGUAUCUUUGAGCCUUUGAUCUAGGCAAGGGACUAAGUUAUGAUUCAAAUU